GGAAGAACCCCGGCCUGGGGAGAUGAGUAAGGACCUGUCUGGUUGGUUUACGCCCUUGCCCGACCUGUCGCAGGGGUGACAGCACACAGCAGCCUCCCGUGAGCACCUUGUGGAGGUCGGGGGGUCACGGAAGGCAUAGAACAUCUGACUGCAGCUCUGCUCCUGCAUACCUCCGCUCCACUACAAGACCCAGGGAAAAAGAUGGCAAAGCAAGGAGGAAUAAAAAGCUAAGCCUCCCAUCACACACAACCAAUUACCGUGAAAAGCUCAAUUUCAAGUUGCCUACUACUAGAGUUGAUACUGCAGCCUGGAGACUGAUGAGCUUGAAUGUCUGCUCCGCUAAACUGACUAGCCUUUCUCUCUUAUUUGCCAUAGCAGAAGAUCAUCUAUUUUUCUCUUCAGAUAUUUAUGGAUAGUUGUGUCUUUUGUAACGCCUGUCAUCUGAACAGCACAAGGUGUUUUAACCAUCUCCCAGCACAGCCCAGUCCACUCAAGCUUGUAACAAAUGCUGCUCAUCACAAGGAGAAUCACCACUAUUGCUCUCCCUUUCGGCCUACAUGCCCUUGGCACCGUGCAAGCAGCCCCCUAUGCUAACUACAGACUGCACCCAGAAUUACAGCUGUCUUGUACAUGCAGUCACACAUUCUGCUAGCAUGGUUCUGGGUUAUAUUAUAAUAAUAAUAAUACGGACAAACUUAAGAAAAUAGAUACAUUUAUUGAAAUGUGCAACAUGUGAAAUAUUUAGCACUAAUUAUGUGACACCAUCAUUUAAAAAUUCCAUCAUUUGUGACAUAUUGAAAUAUAUUUCAUACUGAAAACAAGGGCAUCUUAAAAUGCAUCUUAAAUGACAGUUUUAAUCAUUACCUAAGGUACAUUCAUAAUUGUAACUGAAGUCAUUCUCCCAAACAGUCAUUCUUAACAAAUUUUACAAAUGAACAGCUGUAUAAUGUUAGUAAAAUACAGUGAAAGUUCCUUCCCACUUCAGCAUCUUUAGCAAGUGCUUGGCUGCAGUACCAUGAGAUUACACAUGAAAAUACAAUUAAGCGUAUCUGUGUUUACAGGACUUAAAUUCAAAUCCUGACUCUUCAGGGUCACAAUGUACAUGUAAUCUCUAAGCCUGGGAGUAGUCGUACUGAAUUCAGUUUUAUUUUUCUAGACCUAUGCUGAAAGUUAGGCCUAACUGCAGACUGAAAGCCUGAAGUCCAUUUUUGGUCCAAUGUGAACUGUGUUUAUAGAUUUAAAAAAAAAAAAAUAAAUUAGGUUAACCAAGCUGUAGCCAAAAACAUUUUUGAGAUGUUACACAAAAAUUAAUUUUGUAUAUAAAAAAAAUACCGAUAGCUAUUCAUUAA
rnacentral:lncRNA from 1 species